rnacentral:rRNA from 1 species
AGUGAACGCUGGCGGUAGGCCUAACACAUGCAAGUCGAACGGCAGCACAGUAAGAGCUUGCUCUUACGGGUGGCGAGUGGCGGACGGGUGAGGAAUACAUCGGAAUCUACUUUUUCGUGGGGGAUAACGUAGGGAAACUUACGCUAAUACCGCAUACGACCUACGGGUGAAAGCAUGGGAUCUUCGGACCUUGCGCGAUUGAAUGAGCCGAUGUCGGAUUAGCUAGUUGGCGGGGUAAAGGCCCACCAAGGCGACGAUCCGUAGCUGGUCUGAGAGGAUGAUCAGCCACACUGGAACUGAGACACGGUCCAGACUCCUACGGGAGGCAGAAGUGGGGAAUAUUGGACAAUGGGCGCAAGCCUGAUCCAGCCAUACCGCGUGGGUGAAGAAGGCCUUCGGGUUGUAAAGCCCUUUUGUUGGGAAAGAAAAGCAGCAGGUUAAUACCCCGCUGUUCUGACGGUACCCAAAGAAUAAGCACCGGCUAACUUCGU